AUGGACCUGGACGGCUUCCCACUCGACCAAGAGUUCCCAGACGACUACGGUCAAGAGGAAGAGGACGAGUGCGACAUCGAAGUGGAGCCUUUGUUCGAGGACAAGCUCGCCAACCAAGCCGCCGGUCCUAAGCCGAAGCGCAAGAGCAAGCGCACGAAGGCAUACACGACUGCCAAGGACAAGCUUCUUUACGAGUGUUGGCGAGACAUUGGACAAGACCCAAGAGGCGCCGAACAAAAGCAUUCAACCUCUUGGAUUCGUGUCCACUAAGAGUUUCAUGAGCGCAAGAAGUUUCCGCCUUACCAAAUUGUGAGCACGCGCGGGUGGGUGUCCAUUUCCAAGCGAUGGAGGGUCAUCCAACAAGAGUGCAGCAAGUUCGAGGCCGCCAACGCCAAGACCAAGGCGAAAGAAGUGACUCUCGCGAGCAUGAUGAGCGGGGUGGAGAUCAUGAAGGUGGAUCUCAACACCGUGUCGCCAAGGAAGAGGGCGUAG
rnacentral:rRNA from 1 species